rnacentral:hammerhead_ribozyme from 1 species
UAGCGAAACGCCCCCACGCGGGGGCGUCUGCUGGGCGUGGUGGCCCAGCACUGAUGAGCAGCCAAUG